rnacentral:rRNA from 1 species
GAUGAACGCUGGCGGCGUGCCUAAUACAUGCAAGUCGAGCGAACGGACGAGAAGCUUGCUUCUCUGAUGUUAGCGGCGGACGGGUGAGUAACACGUGGAUAACCUACCUAUAAGACUGGGAUAACUUCGGGAAACCGGAGCUAAUACCGGAUAAUAUUUUGAACCGCAUGGUUCAAAAGUGAAAGACGGUCUUGCUGUCACUUAUAGAUGGAUCCGCGCUGCAUUAGCUAGUUGGUAAGGUAACGGCUUACCAAGGCAACGAUGCAUAGCCGACCUGAGAGGGUGAUCAGCCACACUGGAACUGAGACACGGUCCAGACUCCUACGGGAGGCAGCAGUGGGGAAUCUUCCGCAAUGGGCGAAAGCCUGACGGAGCAACGCCGCGUGAGUGAUGAAGGUCUUCGGAUCGUAAAACUCUGUUAUUAGGGAAGAACAUAUGUGUAAGUAACUGUGCACAUCUUGACGGUACCUAAUCAGAAAGCCACGGCUAACUACGUG